AGAGCGAACGCUGGCGGCAGGCUUAACACAUGCAAGUCGAGCGGGCGUAGCAAUACGUCAGCGGCAGACGGGUGAGUAACGCGUGGGAACAUGCCUUUUGGUUCGGAACAACACAGGGAAAACUUGUGCUAAUACCGGAUAAGCCCUUACGGGGAAAGAUUUAUCGCCGAAAGAUUGGCCCGCGUCUGAUUAGCUAGUUGGUGAGGUAACGGCUCACCAAGGCGACGAUCAGUAGCUGGUCUGAGAGGAUGAUCAGCCACAUUGGGACUGAGACACGGCCCAAACUCCUACGGGAGGCAGCAGUGGGGAAUAUUGGACAAUGGGCGCAAGCCUGAUCCAGCCAUGCCGCGUGGGGGAUGAAGGCCUUCGGGUUGUAAACCCCUUUCAGCAGGGACGAAGCGAAAGUGACGGUACCUGCAGAAGAGCGCCGGCUAACUACGUGCCAGCAGCCGC
rnacentral:rRNA from 1 species